GUGGGGAAUAUUGGACAAUGGGGGGAACCCUGAUCCAGCCAUGCCGCGUGUGUGAAGAAGGCCUUUUGGUUGUAAAGCACUUUAAGUGGGGAGGAGGCUUACCUGGUUAAUACCUAGGCUAAGUGGACGUUACCCACAGAAUAAGCACCGGCUAACUCUGUGCCAGCAGCCGCGGUAAUACAGAGGGUGCGAGCGUUAAUCGGAUUUACUAGGCGUAAAGCGCGCGUAGGUGGUUAAUUAAGUCAAAUGUGAAAUCCCCGAGCUGAACUUGGGAAUUGCAUUCGAUACUGGUUAGCUAGAGUAUGGGGGAGGAUGGUAGAAUUCCAUGUGUAGCGGUGAAAUGCGUAGAGAUCUGGAGGAAUACCGAUGGCGAAGGCAGCCAUCUGGCCUAAUACUGACACUGAGGUGCGAAAGCGUGGGGAGCAAACAGGAUUAGAUACCCCGGUAGUCC
rnacentral:rRNA from 1 species